rnacentral:misc_RNA from 1 species
GGGGCAAUCAAGAAGAAAAACAUUUUUU